rnacentral:rRNA from 1 species
UACAGAGGGUGCGAGCGUUAAUCGGAAUUACUGGGCGUAAAGCGCACGUAGGCGGCUUGGUAUGUCGGGGGUGAAAUCCCCGGGCUCAACCUGGGAACUGCAUCCGAAACUGCCUUGCUCGAGUAUGGGAGAGGGAAGUGGAAUUUCCGGUGUAGCGGUGAAAUGCGUAGAUAUCGGAAGGAACAUCAGUGGCGAAGGCGACUACCUGGCCUGUUUCUUGACGCUGAGGCGCGAAAGCUAGGGGAGCAAACGGG